GGUGGCACCGGGGGCGGUCACCCCGAUGUCACCGUGAGCGAACGGGGGGGUCGUCCGGGUGUCACCGUGUCCCGUUGUCCCCGUGUCCCCGUGUCCCGUUGUCCCCGUGAACUGUUGUGUCUAUGUCCCAUUGUCCCCGUGUCCCCAUGUCCCGUUGUCCCAUUGUCCCCGUGUCCCAUUGUCCCCGUGUCCCCAUGUCCCCAUUGUCCCCGUGUCCCAUUGUCCCCGUGUCCCCAUGUCCCAUUGUCCCCAUGCUCUGCUGUCCCCUUGUCCCCAUGUCCCAUUGUCCCCGUGUCCCAUUGUCCCCGUUGUCCCCGUGAACUGUUGUCUCCAUGUCCCGUUGUCACAUUGUCCCCAUGUCCCCAUGUCCCCAUUGUCCCAUUGUCCCCAUGUCCCCAUAUCCCCAUUGUCCCCAUGUCCCCACUGUCCCCAUGUCCCCAAGUCCCAUGUUCCCACUGUCCCCAUGUCCCAUUGUCCCCAUGUCCCCUUGUCCCCUUGUCCCCUUGUCCCAUUGUCCCCAUGUCCUAUUGUCCCAUGUCCAGUUUUCUCCAUGUCCCCAUGUCCCGUUGUUCCAUUGUCCCCGUGUCCCCUUGUCCCCAUAUCCCAUUGUCCCCUUGUCCCCAUGUCCCAUUGUCCCCUUGUCCCCAUGUCCCCAUGUCCCUUUGUCUCACUGACCCCAAGUCCCCAUGUCCCCACGUCCCAUUGUCCCAUGUCCAGUUUUCUCCAUGUCCCCAUGUCCCCGUGUCCCCUUGUCCCCAUGUCCCCAUGUCCCCAUGUCCCAUAGUCCCCAUGUCCAGUUUUCUCCAUGUCCCAUUGUCCCCUUGUCCCCUUGUCCCUAUGUCCCCACGUCCCAUUGUUCCCACAUCCCGUUGUCCCCAUUGUCCCAUUGUCCCUGCUGCCCUAUUGUCCCUAUAUCCCACUGUCCCCGUGUCCCAUUGUUCCCACAUCACAUUGUCCCCAUUGUCCCCAUGUCCCCAUUGUUCCCAUAUCCCAUUGUCCCCACAUCCCCAUGUCCCCCAUUGUCCCCAUGUCCCCACGUCCCCAUGUCCCAUUGUCCCCACGUCCCAUUGUCCCCACGUCCCACUGUCCCCACGUCCCAUUGUCCCCAUGUCCCAUUGUCCCCACUGUCCCCAUUGUCCCCACUGUCCCCAUUGUCCCCACGUCUCAUUUUCCCCACUGUCCCCAUUGUCCUCAUUGUCCCCAUGUCCCAUUGUCCCUAUGUCUCAUUGUCCCCACUGUCCCCAUGUCCCCAUUGUCCCCAUUGUCCCCACAUCCCCAAGUCCCACUGUCCCCAUGUCCCAUUGUCCCUAUGUCUCAUUGUCCCCACUGUCCCCAUGUCCCUAUUGUCCCCACAUCCCCACGUCCCACUGUCCCCACAUCCCAUUGUCCCCACAUUCCAUUGUCCCCACUGUCCCUAUGUCCCCAUGUCCCCAUGUCCCCAUUGUCCCCACAUCCCAUUGUCCCCACAUUCCAUUGUCCCCACUGUCCCUAUGUCCCCAUGUCCCCAUUGUCCCCACUGUCCCCAUGUCCCAUUGUCCCUAUGUCCCCACUGCCCCCACUGUCCCCACGUCCCCAUUGCCCCCAUUGCCUCCACAUCCCCAUGUCCCAUUGUCCCCACAUCCCAUUGUCCCCAUGUCCCCAUUGUCCCCAUUGUCCCCACAUCCCCAUUGUCCCCAUUGUCCCCAUCGUCCCCACGUCCCCACGCAGGCGGUGACGCCGGGGUUAACAAUCUCCGGGAGGGGACAACGGGGCAAUCUUUGGGGACAAAGUCUGCGGGUGUCACCGCAACGAGGGCGUCACCGCCCGGAAAACCUUAUCACAACCGGGGCGUCACCGCCACCCCAGUGACACCGCGCCCUGCGUGUCACCGUGACCAGGGUGCCACCGUGCCCUGGGUGUCACCGUGACCAGUGUGUCACCGUGCCCUGGGAGUCACCGUGCCCUGGGUGUCACCGUGGUAGGACCGUCACCGUGAAGCGGGUCCCAAUGUGACCACGGUGCCACCACCGCAAGGAUGGGACAGUGACCGGGAUGUCACCGUGACCAGGGUGUCACCGUGCCCUGGGUGUCACCGUGACCAGGGUGUCACCGUGACCAGUGUGUCACCGUGAGCUGGGUGUCACCGUGACCAGGGUGUCACCGUUGUAGGACCGUCACCGUGAAGUGGGUCCCGAUGUGACCACGGUGCCACCACCGCAAGGAUGGGACAGUGACCGGGAUGUCACCGUGACCGGGAUGUCACCGUGACCAGGGUGUCACCGUGACCAGUGUGUCACCGUGAGCUGGGUGUCACCGUGACCAGGGUGUCACCGUGGUAGGACCGUCACCGUGAAGCGGGUCCCGAUGUGACCACGGUGCCACCACCGCAAGGAUGGGACAGUGACCGGGAUGUCACCGUGACCAGGGUGUCACCGUGACCAGUGUGUCACCGUGACCAGGGUGUCACCGUGCCCUGAGUGUCACCGUGACCAGGGUGUCACCGUGCCCUGGGUGUCACCGUGACCAGUGUGUCACCGUGCCCUGGGUGUCACCGUUGUAGGACCGUCACCGUGAAGUGGGUCCCGAUGUGACCACGGUGCCACCACAGCAAGGAUGGGACAGUGACCGGGAUGUCACCGUGACCGGGAUGUCACCGUGACCAGUGUGUCACCGUGACCAGGGUGUCACCGCGAGCUGGGUGUCACCAUGACCAGUGUGUCACCGUGCCCUGGGUGUCACCGUGCCCUGGGUGUCACCGUGGUAGGACCGUCACCGUGAAGCGGGUCCCGAUGCGACCACGGUGCCACCACCGCAAGGAUGGGACAGUGACCGGGAUGUCACCGUGACCGGGAUGUCACCGUGACCAGGG
rnacentral:lncRNA from 1 species